CUCCAUUGAUGAGCUCCUGUUUGUGCCAUUGUGUCUGGGUUAGAGAAGCGCUGUGAUGGGGCCUAGGACAGCUGAUGAAG